AUGAUAGAGGUCGCGAUAUUAAUAAGUAGUUCUGUGGAGGUAAGCACGUUGAAGCAAAACAAAAGGUAAUAUUGCCGAAAUAUACAAGUGAAGCUUUAAGCUUGUAUGUUGGGGUUAUACAUAAUAUGUAUAACACUGUCACAAUAAUUUGUGGAGUACUAUCUUU
rnacentral:ncRNA from 1 species